GCCGGGCGCGGUGGCGUGCGCCUGUAGUCCCAGCUGCUCGGGAGGUUGAGGGCUGGAGGACUGCUUGAGUCCAGAAGUUCUGGGCUGUCGUGGCUGUGCCUGUUGGGCGUCCACACUAAAUUCAACAUCAGUAUGGUGACCUCCCGGGAGCGGGGGACCACCAGGUUGCCUAAGGAGGGGUGAACUGGCCCAGGUCGGAAACAGAGCAGGUCAAACUCCCGUGCUGAUCAGUAGAUAUUUCCAUCUGUUUCACUAAUUUUUAUUGAUACAUCCUUAGUCAAAUUUGU
ensembl:misc_RNA Metazoa_SRP Metazoan signal recognition particle RNA